CGGGUCCCGCCUAAGACCCCUGAAGGGGUAGAAAAGAGAGGAACCAUCACGAGGAGAACCGACAACGAGCCAGGGACCCGCGGGAAGACAUUUAAAGGGUUUGAGAAGACUCUUGCGAUGCCCCUAAUGAACUGGGAGCUUUGUGAGUAUAGCGGCAGACUAGGAUUCACAACUGAUGAUCAGCAGUACCCAACAGCCCACGGUGAAGCUGGAGACCACAAAAAGCCCACAGCCCACACCUCUGGAGAGUAUUUUGGAGAAGACAGGUGGAGGAUAAAGUAAGGCCAAACCUCAUGACUGGCUGGUGACUUGGUGAAGGCUGUCCCUGAGCAAAAGAAUCCAGUGUUUGGAAGACCUUUCAUAUACCUGCUAACUGUAACAACCCACAGAUCUGCCACCAAAAUAAACAUAGCCUUUUCCAAAGUGCUGUAAAAAGUCUAAAAUGUCUGAGCUUCAUUACUAAAGGUUGGUAGUGAUUCAAAAUAUACUAGCAGAGGAGAUCAAAUUAAGAAGAUGAAGUAAAGACAAUUAUGGAAAUCCUAAUUAAGACACAGAGACAGCAUUUGACAAAAUCCAACACCCCUUCAUGAUAAAGACAAUCAACAAACUAGAAACAGAAGGGAACUUCCUCAACUUGAAAAAAGAAAAUGAGUAAAUACUUUGAGGUCAGUGAAAUGAAGACACGACACACCAAAAGCUAACAUCAUACCUAAUGGUGAAAGACUGAAUGCUUUCCCUCUAAUUUCAGGAACAUGACACGGAUAUGUGCUCUCCCCACAUCUGUUCAACAACGCAAGGGAAGUUCUGACCAGGGCAAAAAUUUUAAAAUUAUACAUGCCUGGACUUCCCUGGUGGAGCAAUGGUUAAGAAUCCGCCUGCCAAUGCAGGGGACACGGGUUCGA